rnacentral:rRNA from 1 species
CCUACGGGAGGCAGCAGUGGGGAAUAUUGGACAAUGGGGGCAACCCUGAUCCAGCCAUGCCGCGUGUGUGAAGAAGGCCCUCGGGUUGUAAAGCACUUUCAGUGAGGAAGAACGCCUGGUGGUUAAUACCCAUCAGGAAAGACAUCACUCACAGAAGAAGCACCGGCUAACUCCGUGCCAGCAGCCGCGGUAAUACGGAGGGUGCGAGCGUUAAUCGGAAUUACUGGGCGUAAAGCGCGCGUAGGUGGCUUGAUAAGCCGGUUGUGAAAGCCCCGGGCUCAACCUGGGAACGGCAUCCGGAACUGUCAAGCUAGAGUGCAGGAGAGGAAGGUAGAAUUCCCGGUGUAGCGGUGAAAUGCGGAGAGAUCGGGAGGAAUACCAGUGGCGAAGGCGGCCUUCUGGACUGACACUGACACUGAGGUGCGAAAGCGUGGGUAGCAAACAGGAUUAGAUACCCCGGUAGUC